GUUGUGAUUUGCUUUCAUUUUAGUAUCUUUGAACCAUUGGAAACAAC
rnacentral:other from 1 species